rnacentral:rRNA from 1 species
GUAGUCCACGCUGUAAACGAUGGAUACUUGGUGUGGGAGGUAUUGACCCCUCCCGUGCCGAAGCUAACGCGUUAAGUAUCCCGCCUGGGGAGUACGGUCGCAAGAUUAAAACUCAAAGAAAUUGACGGGGGCCCGCACAAGCGGUGGAGAAUGUGGUUUAAUUCGAUGCAACGCGAAAAACCUUACCUGGGUUUGGAAUCUCCUGAACGCCGUAGAGAUACGGAAGGCUCGAAAGAGACAGGAAGACAGGUGCUGCAUGGCUGUCGUCAGCUCGUGUCGUGAGAUGUUGGGUUAAGUCCCGCAACGAGCGCAACCCUUAUCUUUAGUUGCCAGCAUUAAGUUGGGCACUCUAAAGAGACUGCCAACGUUAAGUUGGA